rnacentral:rRNA from 1 species
UACGGGGGGUGCGAGCGUUGUCCGGAAUCACUGGGCGUAAAGCGUCUGUAGGUGGUUUAAUAAGUCAACUGUUAAAUCUUGAGGCUCAACCUCAAAAUCGCAGUCGAAACUAUUAGGCUAGAGUAUAGUAGGGGUAAAGGGAAUUUCCAGUGGAGCGGUGAAAUGCGUAGAGAUUGGAAAGAACACCGAUGGCGAAGGCACUUUACUGGGCUAUUACUAACACUCAGAGACGAAAGCUAGGGUAGCAAAUGGG